AGASGGUGCGAGCGUUGUCCGGAAUCACUGGGCGUAAAGGGCGCGUAGGUGGCCUGGUAAGUAGGGGGUGAAAUCUCGCGGCUCAACUGCGAGGCUGCCUCCUAAACUGUCAGGCUCGAGCAGAGUAGAGGCAGGUGGAAUUCCCGGUGUAGCGGUGGAAUGCGUAGAGAUCGGGAAGAACAUCGGUGGCGAAGGCGGCCUGCUGGGCUCUUGCUGACACUGAUGCGCGACAGCGUGGGGAGCAAACAGGAUUAGAUACCCUGGUAGUCCACGCCGUAAACGAUGGGUACUAGGCGCCGGGGGGAGCGACCCCUUCGGUGCCGUCGCUAACGCAAUAAGUACCCCGCCUGGGGAGUACGGCCGCAAGGCUG
rnacentral:rRNA from 1 species